CAAUAGCGUAUAUUAAAGUUGUUGCAGUUAAAAAGCUCGUAGUUGGAUUUGUGGCGUACGGUGUGUUCCGGGCACUUGUUGUCUGAGUAACCUGCUGUUGCCAUCCUUGGGUGGAACCUGUGUGGCAUUAGGUUGUCGUGCAGGGGAUGCCCAUCAUUUACUGUGAAAAAAUUAGAGUGUUCAAAGCAGGCUUAUGCCGUUGAAUAUAUUAGCAUGGAAUAAUGAGAUAGGACUUUUUUGCUAUUUUGUUGGUUUGCGCAAAGAGGUAAUGAUCAAUAGGGACAGUUGGGGGUAUUCGUAUUCCAUAGUCAGAGGUGAAAUUCUUGGAUUUUUGGAAGACGAACUACUGCGAAAGCAUUUACCAAGGAUGUUUUCAUUAA
rnacentral:rRNA from 1 species